CGGGGGGGGCAAGCGUUGUUCGGAAUUACUGGGCGUAAAGGGCGCGUAGGCGGCCUGCUAAGUCGGACGUGAAAUCCCUCGGCUCAACCGGGGAACUGCGUCCGAUACUGGUGGGCUCGAAUCCGGGAGAGGGAUGUGGAAUUCCAGGUGUAGCGGUGAAAUGCGUAGAUAUCUGGAGGAACACCGGUGGCGAAGGCGGCAUCCUGGACCGGUAUUGACGCUGAUGCGCGAAAGCCAGGGGAGCAAACGGGAUUAGAUACCCCGGUAGUCCUGGCCCUAAACGAUGAGUGCUUGGUGUGGCGGGUAUCGAUCCCUGCCGUGCCGAAGCUAACGUAUUAAGCACUCCGCCUGGGGAGUACGGUCGCAAGGCUG
rnacentral:rRNA from 1 species